GGCCUGUGGAGGAGGCUACCAUGCAGUCGACGGUAGCACAGAGAGCUUGCUCUCGGGUGACGAGUGGCGGACGGGUGAGUAAUGUCUGGGAAACUGCCUGAUGGAGGGGGAUAACUACUGGAAACGGUAGCUAAUACCGCAUAACGUCGCAAGACCAAAGAGGGGGACCUUCGGGCCUCUUGCCAUCAGAUGUGCCCAGAUGGGAUUAGCUAGUAGGUGGGGUAACGGCUCACCUAGGCGACGAUCCCUAGCUGGUCUGAGAGGAUGACCAGCCACACUGGAACUGAGACACGGUCCAGACUCCUACGGGAGGCAGCAGUGGGGAAUAUUGCACAAUGGGCGCAAGCCUGAUGCAGCCAUGCCGCGUGUAUGAAGAAGGCCUUCGGGUUGUAAAGUACUUUCAGCGGGGAGGAAGGUGUUGUGGUUAAUAACCACAGCAAUUGACGUUACCCGCAGAAGAAGCACCGGCUAACUCCGUGCCAGCAGCCGCGGUAAUACGGAGGGUGCAAGCGUUAAUCGGAAUUACUGGGCGUAAAGCGCACGCAGGCGGUCUGUCAAGUCGGAUGUGAAAUCCCCGGGCUCAACCUGGGAACUGCAUUCGAAACUGGCAGGCUAGAGUCUUGUAGAGGGGGGUAGAAUUCCAGGUGUAGCGGUGAAAUGCGUAGAGAUCUGGAGGAAUACCGGUGGCGAAGGCGGCCCCCUGGACAAAGACUGACGCUCAGGUGCGAAAGCGUGGGGGAGCAAACAGGAUUAGAUACCCUGGUAGUCCACGCCGUAAACGAUGUCGACUUGGGAGGUUGUGCCCUUGAGGCGUGGCUUCCGGAGCUAACGCGUUAAGUCGACCGCCUGGGGAGUACGGCCGCAAGGUUAAAACUCAAAUGAAUUGACGGGGGCCCGCACAAGCGGUGGAGCAUGUGGUUUAAUUCGAUGCAACGCGAAGAACCUUACCUACUCUUGACAUCCAGAGAACUUUCCAGAGAUGCAUUGGUGCCUUCGGGAACUCUGAGACAGUGCUGCAUGGCUGUCGUCAGCUCGUGUUGUGAAAUGUUGGGUUAAGUCCCGCAACGAGCGCAACCCUUAUCCUUUGUUGGC
rnacentral:rRNA from 1 species